AGAUUGAACGCUGGCGGCAUGCCUUACACAUGCAAGUCGAACGGCAGCACGGGAGCAAUCCUGGUGGCGAGUGGCGAACGGGUGAGUAAUAUAUCGGAACGUGCCCAGUCGUGGGGGAUAACGCAGCGAAAGCUGUGCUAAUACCGCAUACGAUCUAUGGAUGAAAGCGGGGGAUCGCAAGACCUCGCGCGAUUGGAGCGGCCGAUAUCAGAUUAGCUAGUUGGUAGGGUAAAAGCCUACCAAGGCGACGAUCUGUAGCUGGUCUGAGAGGACGACCAGCCACACUGGAACUGAGACACGGUCCAGACUCCGUACGGGAGCGAGCGAGGUAGGGUAAUUUGGACUAAGUGGGCGACGAA
rnacentral:rRNA from 1 species